AGUAUUCUGCCACCGCAUCUUACCUACUUGGCAGGCAAGCUAGAGUUGGCCUAAAUUCUGCUUUUAUCAUUUAUGUGUUUGUUCUUAUGCUUUUAGGAAAAAAAAAUCCUGAAAUAAUGGUGAAGGACAGCAAGUAUUUGCCUAGAGUGCAUGCUAAGAAGUCUCCAUAGAUGUUUUUCUUUAAGUAUCCUGACCGCUUAACAUAUUGAUGAAGACCUCUUAUUUCCAGGUCAACAAUCAGCUGUUACCAACUUAAGCUUUCUAAACAUUUUCUGUGAAACAAAUUUUUGCCAGUAAGAAAAGGAAAUUGGGAGCUGCCACUGCUUAAUUAAUUUGAAGCUUUGAUAAGCUUUGCCAGAGAGUCGCAUAAUAGAAUUAGCAAGUUUCUUAACAGGCUAAUGUCAGAUUCCACACCCACAUACCUAAAAGAGGAGCCAGCCUGUCAAGGUGGCCCAGUUACAAAAGAGAGCUUCCAAUCAGCCUUUCCAUUCAGGAGACCGUUCUACUGGAGAAUGAUACCUGCUUACCCAAAACAGCCUUUCCUUUUCCUUCAUGAAUUACUAAUCAAGGAUGAUCAGAAAUAGGAACAAAAUCCACAGCCUGAAAGAGAAAGACCAAGCUAAACACCAAGAGUGAAUUACCCCUGAAGAAAUAAAGAUCAAAGAAGACAAAAAAUUUAAGCUUGUGUCCUUAGAGGAGGCACAGAAGAUAUUGCCUCCAUAAAAUAAGAGAAGGAUGCUAUUAAAAAUAAACAAUUAAGAAAUGAGAAGGUGAAAAUGUAAAUUAGUAAGUCAUUAUGGAAAACAGUAUGGAAAUUCCUCAACAGUUAAAAAUAGAACUAGCCAUAUGAUCCAGCAACCCCACUACUGAGUAUAUGUCCAAAGGAAAUCACUGAGAGGUAUCUGAACUCUCAAUGUUUAUUGCAGCACUGUUUACAAGAGUCAAGAUAUGGGAUCAACCUAUGUGUUCACCAAUGGGUGAAUAGAGAAAGAAAAUGUGUUUUAUAUAUACACAGUGGAAUACUAUUUAGACAUAAAAAAUAACUGGAAUACGGCCUGCACAGUGGCUCACACCUGUAAUCCCAGCACUUUGGGCGGCCAAGGCGGGCAGAUUGCCUGAGGUCAGGAGUUCGAGACCAGCCUGGCCAACAUGGUGAAACCCUGUCUCUACUAAAAAUACAAAAAUUAGCCCGGCGUAGUGGUGCAUGCCUGUGAUCCCAGCUACUUGGGAGGCUGAGGUAGGAGAAUUGCUUGAACCCAGGAGGUAGAGGUUACAGUGAGCCGAGAUUGUGCCACUGCACUCCAGCCUGGGCAACAGUGUGAGACUCUAUCUCAAAAAAAAAAAAAAUUGUAGUACUAUCAUUUGUGGCAACAUGGGUAAACCUAGAGAACAUUAUUUUAAGUGAAAUAAUCCAGGCACAAAAAGACAAAUACUGCAUGAUCUUACCAAUAUGUGGAAUCUUAAAAAGUUGAUCUCAUAGAAGUAGAGAGUAGGAUAGUGGUUAUCAGAGGCUGGGGAAGAUAGUGAGAUUAGGGGGCAAAUGGGGAGAGAUUUGUCAAUGACUACAAAGUUACAGUUAGAUAGGAGGAAUUAGUUCUGGUGUUCUAUUGCACAGUAGGGUGACUAUGUUAGUUAACAAUGUUGUGUAUUUCAAAAUAGUUAGAAAGGUGGGGCACAGUGGCUCAAGCCUGUAAUCCCAGCACUUUGGGAGGCCAAGGAGGGUGGAUCACCUGAGGUCAGUUCAAGACCAGUCUGACCAACGUGGUGAAACCCCAUCUCUACUAAAAAAAUACAAAAGUUAGCCAGGCGUGGUGAUGCAUGCCUGUAAUCCCAGCUACCUGGGAGGCUGAGGCAAGAGAAUUACUUGAACCCGGGAGGCAGAGGUUGCAGUGAGCCAAGAUUUCACCAUUGCACUACAGCCUGUGCAAUAGACAAACCAACAAACAGACAAACAAACAAAACAAACAUCAAAAUAGGAAAAUUUUGAAUGUUCUCACUGUAAAGAAAUGAUAAUUAUAUGAGGAGAUAGAUAUAUUAAAUAUCCUGAUUUGAUGAUUACACAAUUUAUACAUGUAUUAAAAUAUCACAUUAUACCUCAUAAAUAUGAAUAAUUGUUAAAUGCCAAUUAAAAACAAAGUAAAAAAGACACAACAGGCUUUCAGAUAUUUAAAGUAUGAUUUAAAAUUACAUCCAGGCAAUAUAUGAUUAUAGUAAAAACAAGAUGAAGUCAAGGUAAUCUCUCAGAAUUCAGAGCAAAACUCAAUCAUGAAAAAGAUAAAGGAAAAGAUGAGAGACACAGUUGUUUAACCCAGGAGGUCUAAGAUCUGACUGAAAGAAGUUUUAGGUAGUGAAGUUAGAGACAAUGGAGGGAAAAACAUUAUUUUUUUUUUUAAAUAGAAGAAAAAAUUUCAGUGCCGACAAAAAACAUGUUAUUUUAAUUGGUAAGCCCAGAGUUGGUCUUACAUAAUUUUCAUCAAGUGGAACAUUCACUACAAAUUUACUAAGACAUGUUCAUUCUCCCCUUUCUCCUGAAAAAAACAUCAAUUUUGUUUAGUGUGGAAGUGUGCACAAUGAAAAAUCAUUUAUCACACAGAGUUCCUUGCAGGGGUGUCCAUGUGACCCAGCUCUGCCUGUCUGCAUAAAAUGCAUUCGAUUUUAAAAAUUGGAGGUAUGACUGACAUACUAAAAGGUGUAUAUAUUUAAUGUAUAUAUCUUGAUGAGUUUGAAGACAAGCAUAUACCUAUGUAAACCAUCACCAUAAACAAUGCCAUAAACAUAACCAUCACUUCUAAAUGUAGAUGCGAUGCCUUGGCUGGGUGCAGUGGCUUAUGUCUGUAAUCCCAGCAUUUGAGAGGCCGAGGUGGGCAGAUCUCUUGAGCCCAGGAGUUUAAGACCAACCUGGGCAACAUGGCAAAACCCUG
rnacentral:lncRNA from 1 species